GCCCUAAGAGGAACUAGAAGGACACAGCACUGGUGUUUCAGUGGAUGCCCAGCGUGACGCACGAAACAAAUACAAAUAAUAUUGACAAAAAAACAGUUAUUGCGCGAGCGACGCCGCAGCGUGAUCACGUGUACUCCUGAAAACGGGAUUUCGCACCGCCAGGGCAGAGAGGCCCGCCCAGCUGCGCUCGUCGCACGCGCACAGGUGCCAAAUAGAUAUAACAAAAUAGAAACAGAAUAAUUAAAAAAAACAAAACAAGACUUGACAAUAACCUGUGAUGCAUUAUUAAUGACUACCUAUGGAGACAGUAUUUAUUAUACAAAUACAUAAAUAAAACCAAUAGUUUGUAUAUAUUAUUGCACAUGCCAUCGCCGUGUUCAAGCAGAUCCAGGAACAAUGGAAAUCCUACCUUACGCACUGGGGAUAAGGUCGUGACCUCGGAUAGGCGGUGGGAGAUUGUUGUAUAUGUCGCUCGAGAGAUAUUUAAAACUAUGGCGAAACAUGGCAGAUUUAUGUUUGGGAGUCAGCAUGAGAUAAGUUGCAGCUCUGGUAUUAAUAGUGUGGUGAUUACGGGCCCAGGCCAGCUUAUCAUACAGAUAAUCUGGCGACUGGUGCUUCACCACACCGAAGAGGAGAGUGGCCAGAUGCAGUUUCCACCUCGCAGCAAUCUUCAACAGGUUUGAACGGUUAAGGAACGGUGUAACAUGAGCGCGCGGAGGUAUAUUAAAGCAGAACCUCGCGCAGGCGUUCUGUACUCUUUGUAACAAUCUUUCCGUUGUGCGUAAUAAACAAGGGCCGUAUACGGUGUCAGCAUAAUUUAGUUUGGAAAGUACAAGCGAUUCGCACAAUUGGAUACGGAGGUCAACAUUUAAGUAAGGUCGCAUUUUGUACAAGAUUUUUAGUCUAUAAAAACAGUUUCUGAU